GACGAACGCUGGCGGCGUGCCUAAUACAUGCAAGUCGAACGCAGUGGGGACGGGUGAGUAACACGUGGGUAACCUCCCAUCAGAGGGGAUAACACUUGGAAACAGGUGCUAAACCGAUAUUGGUGGCUGGAGCCGUGGUGCAUUAGCUAGGUGGUGAGGGAACGGCUCACCAAGGACACGAUGCAUAGCCGAACGUAGAGGGUGGAAGGCCACACUGGGCCGGAGAGACGGCCCAGACUCAUACGGGAGGCAGCAGUAGGGAAUCUUCGGCAAUGAAUGAAAGUCUGCCCGAGCAACGCCGCGUGAGUGAAGAAGGUUUUCUGUUCGUAAAACUCUGUUGUUAGAGAAGCGGUAUCUAACCAGAAAGCCCCGGCUAACUACGUGCCAGCAGCCGCGGUAAUA
rnacentral:rRNA from 1 species